GCCUGAACCAGCAACUUGGAGGAAUGGAUAGCAAUAGCUAUUUACGCUAAUCUUUUUUUAGCGUGAAAUCGACUAUGUCGAAUGAAAUUCUGGGUAGGAUUAUGAUUAUGACAUUACCUGCCCAUAAGUCUUGACCAAAUUACGUGCCAGCAGUCGCGGUAAUACGUAGAAGACAAGUGUUAUUCAUCUUUAAUAGGUUUAAAGGGUACCUAGACGGUAAAUAAAGCCUCCGGAAGGAAGGGACUAGUUUGCUAGAGUUUUAUGUGAAGGGGUUUUAAUGUACUACUGGUGGAGAGAUAAAAUUCAGUUAUACCUUAAUGGCACAGGUUACGGCGAAGGCAUCCUCUUAUGUAAAAACUGACGUUGAGGGACGAAGGCUUUGUGUCUCGAACAGGAUUAGUUACCCUAGUAGUCUAAGCAGAAAAUGAUGAAUGUCAUAGAUUAGAUUUAAUUUGAUCUAUAAAUGAAAGUGUAAGCAUUCCACCUCAAGAGUAAUUUGGCAACAUUGGAACUGAAAUCAUUAGGCCGUUUCUGAGAACAGUAGUGAAGUAUGUUGUUUAAUUUGAUAAUCCGCAAAAAACCUUACCACGAUAUGAAUAGAUAUAUUUUUAUCAUACAAGCGUUGCACGGCUGUUUUUAGUUAAUGUCGUGAGACUUUGGUUAGUUCCAUUAAUUAACGUAAACCCUUACUUUAUUUUUAUAUAAAGUAGUUCACCGCUAUAUUGGAUGUGAUAAUAGGGAUCAAGACAAGUCAUCAUGACCUUAUAUUAUCGU
rnacentral:rRNA from 1 species